AUACGUAGGGGACGAGCGUUGUCCGGAAUUACUGGGCGUAAAGGGCGCGCAGGCGGAUAUUUAAGUCAGCUGUAAAAGGCAUGAGCUCAACUCAUGUAUGCGGUUGAAACUGGGUAUCUAGAGUGCUGGAGAGGUAGGCGGAAUUCCCGGUGUAGCGGUGAAAUGCGUAGAUAUCGGGAAGAACACCAGUGGCGAAGGCGGCUUACUGGCCAGCAACUGACGCUGAGGCGCGAAAGCCAGGGGGGCGAACGGGAUUAGAUACCCCGGUAGUACUGGCCGUAAACGAUGAAUGCUAGGUGUGGGUGUCGAGAGGCAUCCGUGCCGGAGUUAACACAAUAAGUAUUCCGCCUGGGGAGUACGGCCGCAAGGUUGAAACUUAAAGGAAUUGACGGGG
rnacentral:rRNA from 1 species